AGAGUUUGAUCAUGGCUCAGAAUCAACGCUGGCGGCGUGCCUAACACAUGCAAGUCGAACGCGAAAGCCCCGCAAGGGGUAAGUAGAGUGGCGCACGGGUGAGUAACACGUGGACAACCUGCCUUCGAGUGGGGAAUAACCUUCCGAAAGGAGGGCUAAUACCGCAUAACACCCUUGGACAAAAGUCGAGGGGUUAAAAGGAGCAAUUCGCUCGAAGAGGGGUCCGCGCCUGAUUAGCUAGUUGGCGGGGUAACGGCCCACCAAGGCUUCGAUCAGUAGCCGUCCUGAGAGGGAGCACGGCCACACUGGAACUGAGACACGGUCCAGACUCCUACGGGAGGCAGCAGUGGGGAAUUUUUGGCAAUGGGCGAAAGCCUGACCAAGUAACGCCGCGUGGGUGAUGAAGUAUCUUGGUACGUAAAACCCUUUCGGCAGGGACGAACUUAAUGACGGUACC
rnacentral:rRNA from 1 species